UACGUAGGUGGCAAGCGUUGUCCGGAUUUAUUGGGUUUAAAGGGUGCGUAGGCGGCCCUGUAAGUCAGUGCUGAAAUAUCCCAGCUUAACUGGGAGGGUGGCAUUGAUACUGCGGGGCUAGAGUACAGAUGAGGUAGGCGGAAUUGACGGUGUAGCGGUGAAAUGCUUAGAUAUCGUCAAGAACACCUAUGGCGAAGGCAGCUUACUAGGCUGUAACUGACGCUGAGGCACGAAAGUGUGGGGAUCAAACAGG
rnacentral:rRNA from 1 species